AUAUGGAAAUAGUAACAUACUUUGAAAUGGAACAUUAUACACUGAAUACACAGGACAUCUGAAACAUUCCUUGUUCUGUUCUUAGAUUUGUCCCAUGUUCCUCUACAGAGUCUACAGCUUUAAUCUCACCUAUUCUUAUUUACAUAGUACAGCCACAAAUGUAAACUUGAAGAGUGUCCCCAUCUGAGAUUUGAGAAUCAGGGAGCAGAAUUGAAAGAAGCGGGAGGCAGGGAGAGGAGGGUAAGGACAUCCAAAGCAGCAGCAAAGCUUGUGUCAGAACAUCUGGCUAAUAGAGAUGCACAGAGAAUGGAGAGACCCAAACAAACGGAAACAACUUGUGAGGCUCCUUCAAUCCAGUGAUGACAAAGCACUUCACAAGCAUGAUUGGAUUAAGCUUCUCAACACUUCUGUUUGGCAGAGGAGUAGCGCGACCAGGUGUCCGGUUUUCGAUGGGAGCACCUGGUCGAAAAGGGAUCCUGGCGGCUCUGGUGCUUACCAGAGAGGGCAUCGCUGAACUGGGAUCCUUGCUGACAAGUGGUUUGAAAGUUAGGCCAUGUUUUGUAAUCAGAUCCUGGAGGCCAAAGGGAAAGUUCUCAUUUAGUCAUUUGGAGGACUCACCCCUGUGUUCACAGAGGGAUUGAGUUCACUGAGAUACAGAGCAGUAAUUUCACUACAAGAACAACGAGCAAGAUAGAAUGGAACCUGGAACCAAAUGCUGGGGCUCCUCAGCUUGUUUAAUCUUCUUUUCUCUGCCUUGCCCCCGAGAUGGACUUCUUCAUUCUUGUUCCUCCCAAGAUCUCCAUGAAUUUCCCAUCCUAGCUUCUCUGGCCCAUGCAGUAUGCGGAUCACUUUCAUAAUCACUGCUGCAUUUGAGCUCCCCAAUCUGCUGGGCUCAAAUCACAAGGAUUAACUGAUCCUGAUUUAAUGCACUCUUUGAACUAAUUUUCUCAACCUUUCCCAGUAUGCAUUGCUCUUCUGUCUAAAAUGUUCACAAUAGGAACAAAAGUAACUAAGCUCAUAUACCAUGGGACCUGGUGUCUAAUGAUUCCCACAGCUCCUCUUGCAACAGCUCUUUGCACUCCUCAUUUAAACAGUUCUUUAUUCAUUCCCUUGUUGUACCCUCAGCCCUAGGGCCCACAGGGCAGUUUAAACAAUAGUCUACCAGGUGGAGCACUAGCAAAGGCUUUGAUAAAAAUCUAUACACAUUAUGUAGCAUUCCCGGCAACUUCUUUUGGAACUGCCUUUUAAAUGUCCACAUGGCUAGCUAGGCAGGAGUUUUUCCUUCUUAGCUUUGAGUUGCUUUCCAUUGCCAGAACCAGAUGAUCCAUUACCCAUGGCCACCCACAGAAUAGGAUGCAAGAAGCCAGAUGUUCUGCAAAAUCCCUUUCACCACCGUUCUAGCUGCAGCCCUAGUGAAGUUUCCCUGCACCAAAACUGGCUCUUGGGGAACAGGAAUCAGCCCUUAGUGAAUCCAUUAAUGUUACUGUCUGUUACAAUAAAAUGAAGGCAUUUAUUUUCUGAGUCUCCCUUAGUUAGCCCUUUCUUGUAUCACAAAGGCUCUAUGGGCAUUGUCUGAUUAUUAAUGAAUGGACACUGGCAUAAACCCUUCAAUCUGUGCACUGGAUCCUUCUUACCUG